rnacentral:tRNA from 1 species
GGGCCUAUAAGCUCAGCUGGUUAGAGCGCACGCGCCUGAUAAGCGUGGAGGUCCGAUGGUUUCCGAGUCAUUUAGGCCCA